rnacentral:rRNA from 1 species
UACGAAGGGGGCUAGCGUUGUUCGGAAUUACUGGGCGUAAAGGGCGCGUAGGCGGCUUGACUAGUCGGGUGUGAAAGGCCUGGGCUUAACCCGGGAAUUGAGCUCGAUACUGUCAGGCUAGAGUGUGGGAGAGGAUAGCGGAAUUCCCAGUGUAGAGGUGAAAUUCGUAGAUAUUGGGAAGAACACCAGUGGCGAGGCGGCUAUCUGGACCACAACUGACGCUUAGGCGCGAAAGCGUGGGGAGCAAACAGG